UUUUGGAAUAAGAUGUUCGACGAGCAGGUGUCCACAUACUUUUGGUCAUGUAGUGUAUGAGGGUAUGUUUGUGUAUGUAGGAGAGCAUGUAUAUGCAUACUUGUAAGGGUUAAGGUCUGUUUGUCAUUUUGGUCACGUAGUGUAUCUAGAAUCAGUUUAGCCUUUUAGAUCAUAAGGAAUAAGCUUACAAGGAUCUGACGCUUAAAAACGGGCCCUGAUCUGUUGCUUUUCUUCCCCUUAUUUUAAAGAGGAGAUGCAGUGAAUUUCACAUAAUAUUAAGCUACCAGGAACUCUACAUUUUAAGGGUGUCCAGUAUGUUCUGGUUUUAGAGUAUAUCUCUACCAUCAGAGCAAGAUGAUCUGUAGACAGACAGCCGAUAGUGCAGAGGCUGUUUGUGUUCAUAGUACUAUACUGUACUGUUGAGUGUAUAUGACUGUUUCAGAGGCCCUGUCUCCAUAUUGGAGUAGAGUAGGCCCUGCUUGCCAUAUCUUCGUGUUUGAUGCAAGGAAAGUUCUCGGUCGUAGUGAAUUAAGCCUUAAAGGUUAAGGGACAUUUCAUCUGUUUUUGUAUGGCACACUGUUUGCGACACUAACCACUGUGUGCACCGCAGACAACAAAUCUCAACGUAAACUUAAUAAGCAAUAUCCUACCUAAUAGGUCCCUGUAGGAUGUGACCUUUCUAAGAGCAGCUUUACUUGUUCAGUGAUGUAUGUAAUAAUCAGACCGUGACGUUCACUAUAUAAUAGGAGUAGAGGUGGCGUCCCAAAUGGCACACUACUCCCUAUAUAGUGCACUACUUUUGGUCAAAAAUAGUGCACUACUCCCUAUAUAGUGCACUACUUUUGGUCAAAAAUAGUGCACUUUAUAGGGAAGAGGGUGCCAUUUGAGGGAAAAUUUAUUCGAUGUUAAAUUGGGGGAAAUACAUUUGCUGUAAUUAUUUUUAUGCUGCUAAGAGGUAAGCUUGCAGAAUUAACAGCCAACCAACCCUCUUGUUAAACAGCAUCAAUACUUUUUUGCUAGAAGCAUGAAGUGUAGAUUUCAUUUCUGUAUAAAGUAUAAAAUACAUGUUUUUAUAAUAAUAGGCCAUGUAAAUAAUUACUUUUUUCCACUUUUAAGACUGUUUUUUUUCUUCUGAUAAUGGAGUUGUUUUUGUAAAGGUAUUUCUGAUAUUUUUAUAUGGUGUCAAUAACCGUUAUGUUUAGGAUGUUGGCAUAAGAGAAAUUAAGACGCCUUGAAAUAAAAUCUAACGAUGAAUGUGGGCUGCCUAGAUAUACAUUUAUCACGCAGUUACAUUAUGUUAUAUGAUUUGAAUAGUAAUAUUACUUUAAUGAUUAAGUGACUUACUGUAACUGUACAUCUGACUUUGAACAUAUAUGAAAAGGUAUUACAGGAAUAUUGUGAAAGAAACAUGCAUGGG
rnacentral:lncRNA from 1 species